CCUACGGGGGGCAGCAGUGAGGAAUUUUGCGCAAUGGGCGAAAGCCUGACGCAGCGACGCCGCGUGGAGGAUGAAGGCCUUCGGGUUGUAAACUCCUUUCGACCGGAAAGAAACGCCAUUUGGCUAACACCCAAGUGGUUUGACGGUACCGGGAGAAGAAGCCACGGCUAACUCUGUGCCAGCAGCCGCGGUAAGACAGAGGUGGCGAGCGUUGUUCGGAUUUACUGGGCGUAAAGAGUUCGUAGGCGGUUAUAUAUGUCUGUUGUGAAAUCCCGAGGCUUAACCUCGGAACUGCAUCAGAAACGGUAUGGCUAGAGGACAGGAGGGGGAAGCGGAAUUCCAUGUGUAGCGGUGAAAUGCGUAGAUAUAUGGAAGAACACCGGUGGCGAAGGCGGCUUCCUGGACUGUCCCUGACGCUGAGGAACGAAAGCGUGGGUAGCAAACAGGAUUAGAUACCCCGGUAGUC
rnacentral:rRNA from 1 species